GCCAGUGAUGCGAUUCAAUAUUGAGACUGAAAGUGCAGAGUGACAAACUUUGUAUAAAUGUCGAUAUUUAUGAACUAGGACGGUCUGAGGC